rnacentral:rRNA from 1 species
AUGACAAUGCUUUCGAUAGUCUGUAUUAAAUUACUUUGUACGAAUGCACAUCUCGGCCGUCGGGUAGCUGAUCACCAUUUCAAAGUCUAUAUUUGUGGUUCAAGAAAUGGAAUUUCUAUUCUCGAUUCAGAGAAGACACUGAUUUGUUUACGAAAUGCUCUUCAUUUUAUAGGAUCUCCCAGUCGUCAAAAAGGUCGUUCCUUCUUUUUAAAGACCAAUCAUUUAUUUAUUUAUGAGAUAACGGAAGAAAUGGCGAGCUAUUUAAGAAGCUAUUUAAGAAAUGUGAAUUCUCAUUUUUUCGAUGAUUCUCAAUGGAAGAUCGGGGCGUUUUUGACCAAUUCUUUUGCAAAUAAAAAAAUUCCAAAGAAGAAGAUCAAUUUUGGGUUGAACCAACAACCUGAUUGUGUGGUUAUUCUGAAUGCAGAUAGAAAGUCUUCGGUCAUACUGGAAGCUGAUCGAUCACAAAUACCUAUUCCAUCCUUAGUUGAUUCUACGAUCCCAUGGGAAUCCUAUAAAAGAAUCACUUAUCCCAUCCCAGCGAAUGAUCCCAGCGAAUGA